rnacentral:rRNA from 1 species
AGGACUACGCUGAUCGUCCGUCAUAAUACAUGCAGUCGAGCGGACAGAUGGGAGCUUGCUCUGUAUGUCAGCGCGGACGGGUGCAGUAACACGUGGGUAACCUGCCUGUAAGACUGGGAUAACUCCGGGAAACCGGGCUAAUACCGGAUGCUUGAUUGAACCGCAUGUUCAAUUAUAAAAGGUGGCUUCGAGUAACACUUAAAGAUGGGCCCGGGGCGGAUUAAGUAAUUGGUGGGGUAACGGCUCCCCAAGGCCACGAUGCGUAGGGACCUGAAAGGGUGAUCGGCCACACUGGGACUGAGACACGGCCCCAACUCCUAAGGGAGGGAGGAGGAGGGAAUCCUCCGCAAUGGACGAAAACUGACGGAGCAACCCGCGUGGGUGAUGAAGGUUUUUCGAUCGGAAAACUUCUGUGGUAGGGGAGAACAAAGAACCGUCCACAUAUUGUGUUACCUUGAGGA